GUGCCAACCGCCGCGGUAAUACGGAGGGUGCGAGCGUUGUUCGGAAUUACUGGGCGUAAAGCGCGCGCAGGCGGGACCUGCAAGUCGGAAGUGAAAUCCCGGGGCUCAACUCCGGGGCUGCUUUCGAAACUGCGGACCUAGAGACCAGUAGGGGUUGGUGGAAUUCCCAGUGUAGCGGUGGAAUGCGUAGAUAUUGGGAAGAACACCUGUGGCGAAGGCGGCCAACUGGGCUGGAUCUGACGCUGAGGCGCGAAAGCGUGGGGAGCAAACAGGAUUAGAAACCCGUGUAGUCC
rnacentral:rRNA from 1 species